UACGUAGGUGGCAAGCGUUGUCCGGAUUUAUUGGGUUUAAAGGGUGCGUAGGCGGCUUUGUAAGUCAGUGGUGAAAUACUCUAGCUUAACUAGAGGGGUGCCAUUGAUACUGCGGAGCUUGAGUACAGAUGAGGUGGGCGGAAUUGACGGUGUAGCGGUGAAAUGCAUAGAUAUCGUCAAGAACACCGAUAGCGAAGGCAGCUUACUGGGCUGUAACUGACGCUGAUGCACGAAAGUGUGGGGAUCAAACAGG
rnacentral:rRNA from 1 species